UUUCCCUACAUUUCCUGCGUUAUUUCCUUAAUAAAACUCUGUUUAGGAAAGUUUCCAUUCUUUGAUUGGGAAAGUUCCUAAUUGUAGAAAGUUUCCGUUUUGUAGUUUCUAUUUUCCAUUUUUAGAAAGUUUCCAUUUUAGUUUAGGAAAGUUUCCAUUUCUUAUUUUAGAAAGCUUCUAUUUUCAGGUCUUUGGAAUAAAUAAGCUGAAUUGAGUUCAUAAAUGGAAAGAGAAGCUUCAUGAAGAUGACAUGGCAAGGAAAUGACGUGGAAAAUCAGAAAAUAUAAUGCCAAGAGGAAAUCAAGGAAGAGUUUUUAAAAAGGAAAAUAUAUUUUCCUUGGGGAUUAAAUUUGCCGUGUAAUACUUAAGGAAAAACAAGGUGACAACAUGGGAAUUAAAGAUGAUUGAUUGAGGAUUUCAAGGAGAGAUUUUCUUGGGAGACUUUUAUGGGAAGGAAAUAUUGUUGGAGGAAUAAUUUGGUGUGAUUGCCAACGUGAAAAUCAGAAAUAAUCAAGGAGAUGAUGCCAAGAGAGAUUCAAGGGAGAAAUAAAAGGAAAGAGAAAAAGGUGGAGACCAAGAAAAGCUGAAAACGUGUCUAGGUGCAUCCCUAAAUUCCCUAAAGGAAUAUUAGCCGAAAUUCAUGAAGAAAAUCAGAAUAAUUUCAAGGAAAUUCGGCAAUUAAAUAUUAGGGAGGUAUUUUAGAGAAUUUUGAUUGGUUGGAACACAUCACACGGAUUACUUGGCAUUCUAUGAUUGGUUGGACUACAUCACAAAGCUUACUUGGCGAAUUCUCAUUGGUGGAAGCUAUGUGGAAAUUUGUGAUUGCUUUGUGAACCCUAGCCGUGCUCCUAUAUAUACCCACCUCUUUGACGUUGAAAAGGGUUCCACAUCCCUUAGAAAAAUUCAGAAAAAUUAUAUUGUUGCCGUGAGCUUCUUCCAUUUUCUCUCCAUCCUCUAAAGCAAGCCACGGAGUUCAAGCAAGGCCGAAGGGAGAAGAAGAAGCCGUGACUAUUCCUCCACCAUCCACCAUUGAAGACUUGCUUUCAAGCUUCAAGGAUCACAACGAAAAUCAUUCAUCCUCAUCUUCCAUCCACGGUGUGUACCCUCAAUCCCCGGAAUAGAACGAUCCCUAUUUGCUUAUACUACUAACGAUCUUUUCAGGGUUAAAUUAUGCGCUUGCUUUGAGCGUAUCAGAAAGUCCGCCGAGGAGCGAUGAAAAAAAUGGAGAAUUGGUUGUUGGUCUCGGUGAGGCUGAGGUACCAGUAUGAGCUAGAAAGAGCCGAAGAGGAAUAAAAAUGAUCAAGUGAGUUUGGGAAUUGGGAUUGGAAUUGCAAGGAAAACAAGUUGAGACAGAACAAGGAGGAAGAAAAGGGUGAGCUCCUCACAGUCCUUGCUUCGAGAGACGAAGAGGAGCAGGAGGUUGGUGGAAUCUGGAAUGGGAGGAAUGGAGGAUGAGUUUGAGCUGUUUAAUUAAAGAAGAAAGUGGGUUUGUGUGGCAGAGAAAAAAGAAAGAGUUGUACGUGUGGAUGGGGGACAUAUAUCAUGAGGAGGUAGGUUUUAGAGAAAUCAUAGCACAUGGCACAUAUGGAUGGGGUGAGUACGCAAGGUAAAGAAAUCGUAGCAGCACAUGGGCACAUCAGAGGUGGUUUCCCACUUAAAAACUGAUACCGGAAAUUCAAAGAAGAAUUAUACAAAUAACACCACCUCGGUGGCUCGGUGGCAUAUAGGAACCGAAACCGAACACAAAAAAAACCGAAUCGAAUAAAAACAACUAAAUAAAAAGAGAAAACCGAUCAAUUUGGAUCGGUUUGGACCGGUUCCUCGGUUUUUCGGGUCUAAAAUCCCAGCCUGUCUGGACCCGAAACCACUGUCUUUUCCGUUGGCCUUUUCUGCCCAUACGGCCCAAUUCCAAAUCUAAUCAAACGUCUACGUGAAAAUUCCAAAUCGAGGAAUUUUAUAAAAAAAAUGGUGUCAAAUCUUGUCGCUCCGAAUUUGAACUCGUCAGAAAACAUGAGUUUUGAGCUUGAUCCAAAAUUGUGUGGAGCAUCGAUACAUAAGCCAGUGAAAAGUCAAGAAAAGCUCUUCAAGAACGAUACUCAGCAACUGCCUAGCGGGAAGAGCAGGACGGAUACAACUAUAUAACUUUCUAUCCCCCCUGUUGUAUAGGGAUGGAAACUGUGUAAUCUGGUAUAGGGAAUUCACUCCCUGGCAGAAGCUGCAUGUAGUAGUCAUACCGGUCCAUGCCGUUUCCUUUUGCUCACUUUCGAUGGAGGAGCGUGUCUCAAUCAGUGAUGCCAUGAUUGUUUGUGAGCUCAAAGGAAGUGGCAUAGUGAACUGUCAUGCUUUCUGUUGCAGCCACAAUCGACUAAUCUAGACAGACUACUACAAGAUGGUCUACCCCCAUCAUAUCCUUUGUGUUAUACUAUUAAUAAGAAUAAUAGAAAUAAAAAUAUAAAAAAUAAAACAAAAAAAUAUAACUCUCAGAACAAGCCGUGCAAGGGAAAUCUGUAUAACAUCUUUAUUGUAAUUGAAAUUGCAGAUGAACUUAAAACAAACACAAGUUGUUUCCAUA